rnacentral:rRNA from 1 species
AUACGGAGGGUGCAAGCGUUAUUCGGAAUCACUGGGCGUAAAGGACGCGUAGGCGGGUUGGCAAGUCAGAUGUGAAAUCCUACAGCUUAACUGUAGAACUGCAUUUGAAACUGCUAACCUAGAGUAUGGGAGGGGGAGAUGGAAUUAGUGGUGUAGGGUAAAAUCCGUAGAUAUCACUAGGAAUACCGAAAGCGAAGGCGAUCUCCUGGAACAUAACUGACGCUAAGGCGUGAAAGCGUGGGGAGCAAACAGGAUUAGAAACCCUUGUAGUCC